UUUAAGCAUGCAAGUCGAACGGUAGUAGAGUGCUUGCACUCUAUGGGAGUGGCGAACGGGUGAGUAACACGUAGGUGAUCUAUCUUGAGGUUUGGGAUAGCCUGUGGAAACACAGGGUAAUACCGGAUAUGACCUGUAGAUUGCGGUCUAUAGGGGAAAGCCGCUUAGGCGGCGCCUUGAGCUGAGCCUGCGGCUCAUUAGUUAGUUGGUGGGGUAACGGCUCACCAAGGCGACGAUGAGUAGCCGGCCUGAGAGGGUGAUCGGCCACACUGGGACUGAGACACGGCCCAGACUCCUACGGGAGGCAGCAGCUAAGAAUCUUCCGCAAUGGGGGCAACCCUGACGGAGCGACGCCGCGUGGACGAAGAAGGCCGGAAGGUUGUAAAGUCCUUUUCCUGGGGGAGAAUAAUGAGUGGAGGGAAUGCCAUUCAGAUGACGUGAACCAGGGAAUAAGCCCCGGCUAAUUACGUGCCAGCAGCCGCGGUAACACGUAAGGGGCGAGCGUUGUUCGGAUUUAUUGGGCGUAAAGGGCGUGUAGGCGGUAAGGUAAGUCUGGUGUGAAAUACCCCGGCUCAACCGGGAGAGCGCGCUGGAAACUGUCUUACUUGAGUGAUGGAGGGGGAGCUGGAAUUCCUGGUGUAGGGGUGAAAUCUGUAGAGAUCAGGAAGAACACCGGAGGCGAAGGCGAGCUCCUGGCCAUUUACUGACGCUGAGGCGCGAAAGCGUGGGGAGCGAACAGGAUUAGAUACCCUGGUAGUCCACGCUGUAAACGAUGUGCACUGGGUGUUGGACCUGAGAGGUUCAGUGCCGUAGCAAACGCGUUAAGUGCACCGCCUGGGGAGUAUGCUCGCAAGGGUGAAACUCAAAGGAAUUGACGGGGGCCCGCACAAGCGGUGGAGCAUGUGGUUUAAUUCGACACGCGAGGAACCUUACCAGGGCUUGACAUAGACACGACGGUUGUAGAGAUACAGCUUCUCUUCGGAGCGUGUUUACAGGUGCUGCAUGGCUGUCGUCAGCUCGUGCUGUGAAGUGUUGGGUUAAGUCCCGCAACGAGCGCAACCCUUGCUGUCUGUUGCCAACAGGUUAUGCUGGGGACUCGGACGGUACUGCCGGUGACAAACCGGAGGAAGGUGGGGACGACGUCAAGUCAUCAUGGCCCUUAUGUCCUGGGCUACACACGAGCUACAAUGGCCGGUACAGAGCGAAGCGAAACCGCGAGGUAGAGCAAAUCGCAGAAAGCCGGUCCCAGUUCGGAUUGAAGUCUGAAACCCGACUUCAUGAAGGUGGAAUCGCUAGUAAUCGCGCAUCAGCAUGGCGCGGUGAAUAUGUUCCCGGGCCUUGUACACACCGCCCGUCACACCACCCGAGUUGGGGGUACCCGAAGUCGCUCGUCUAACCGGUAACGGAGGACGGUGCCGAAGGUAUGCCUGGUAAGGGGGGUGAAGUCGUAACAAGGUA
rnacentral:rRNA from 1 species